GGAGCGGCGGCGGGGCGGCGGUGGGAAGAGCUCCUGGGCGCGGCCUCAACGUUCAAGGAAUCGGAUUGCUGUAAGGAUUUUGUGAGAGAAUUCCUGGAAAAUGCUUAGCACAAUGCCUUGCAACGAGCACACAGUGAGAGAGAGAGAGAGGCAGAGACACAGGCAGAGGGAGAAGCAGACUC